UUGAUCUUGAAAAUGACCAAAACCUGCUCAAGAGCUUUAGGAAUGAAAUUAUCGAGUUGAACAAAACCCACUGAUUUUAUAGUCAGACAUUUUGAGAUCAAACCAUUUGCUUUGCUUUCACGACAGUGUCCUGCCAUUUUAUUUCAUUUUCCAUUUUAUUUAUUAAGGGGAAAUUUAAACAAGUAAGUAUUUAAGUGAACAGAUUACUGUUUUUCCCCUAAAUGAUGACCAAGAUGCCAACCUUCCUCUCCUUACUCAAAGCCUGUUUAGUGUCAGACCAUUUUAAUGUCAGAUUUCAUUUUUGUGGCGAAAUAGUGACUUCACAAAGCCCCAUGAAGAUGUCACAAGUCCACUAGCUCAAGCCUGCUUGCAGGUGGAAAAAAUUUGCAAUUGACUGAGAUUUUGCUUUCUCUAUGAUUGUGUUCUUCACAAUAAAUGAAAUUGAAAAAGACAAGGAGAUAAGAGAACCACUGACUAAAAUUUUAUGAUUAAAAUCUGCAUCUCGCAUUUUGAGUUUUCUAAAAGUCCAAAUCCACUGUAGUCCAAGAAAGAAGGCUUCUCCAACUCUAGUCCAUAACUGAGUGGAUCCUUCCCACCUGUGAAAUCACUGGCAGAUACCAGUAAACAACUCCUUUCAGGCUUAAAGUACCACAUUGAACAAAUGAGUUAUGCUGAAGAAAGUGAUCAGUGCAGUGAAGUGUUUGGGAUCUAAGAUAUAUAAGAAGUAACUGAAGGAACUAGGAAUAGAUGAGGUGAGACAAGACUCAGAAGGAGCCAGGAGGUGGUUCUGAAGUAUUUUAGGAGUUGUCCUGUGAAAAAGGAAUUGGACUGUUCCACACUGAAGAUUUUAGACCAAUUAUCCAGGUUUUGGUUGAUAAAAAGAUGAACAUUUUAACAAGUAGAACCUUUGAACAAUAAAAUAGACUGCAUUUUAAAAUGAUGAACUCCCUAUCACUCAAGUAUUUUAGCAGAGGUUGAAGCUAAGGGGUUGGAAGAGUAAGAGCCUUUAUUACAAGACAAUUCUAUGAGUCUAUGGUUUUUCAACUCGUAAGUUUGUGUAGUCUAUGCAUUCUACUUAUUAUGACACAAGUAUAUAAUGUCAUGACAUUUAAGUAUAUAAUGUCAUGAAAUGGCAUUCAAAGUUGAUUGUUCCUACUCCAUACUAUCUGAGUGUUAGGAUUGAACCUGUGUAAAUCUUAUCUUCCCCACUGAACCAGUAUUAUUCCUAAACGAGGAGCUUUCUUUUAUGGGGAUACGAAAAAGAGGCUCAGAAACAUCCAAAUUAAGUUUUUCACAGAACUGCUUUAUCAAAGUUAGUUUACCAAAAAACUUUAAAC
rnacentral:lncRNA from 1 species